rnacentral:tRNA from 1 species
CAUUAAGUGGCUGAAAAUCAAGCAUUGGUCUCUUAAACCAAUCUAUGGUAUAGUAAUGGAUACCCUUAAUGG